GACGAACGCUGGCGGCGUGCCUAAUACAUGCAAGUUGAGCGAUGAAGAUUGGUGCUUGCACCAAUUUGAAGAGCAGCGAACGGGUGAGUAACGCGUGGGGAAUCUGCCUUUGAGCGGGGGACAACAUUUGGAAACGAAUGCUAAUACCGCAUAACAACUUUAAACAUAAGUUUUAAGUUUGAAAGAUGCAAUUGCAUCACUCAAAGAUGAUCCCGCGUUGUAUUAGCUAGUUGGUGAGGUAAAGGCUCACCAAGGCGAUGAUACAUAGCCGACCUGAGAGGGUGAUCGGCCACAUUGGGACUGAGACACGGCCCAAACUCCUACGGGAGGCAGCAGUAGGGAAUCUUCGGCAAUAGACGAAAGUCUGACCGAGCAACGCCGCGUGAGGGAAGAAGGUUUUCGGAUCGUAAAACUCUGUUGGUAGAGAAGGACGUUGGUGAGAGUGGAAAGCUCAUCAAGUGACGGUAACUACCCAGAAAGGGACGGCUAACUACGUG
rnacentral:rRNA from 1 species